rnacentral:rRNA from 1 species
AACGAACGCUGGCGGCAUGCCUAACACAUGCAAGUCGAACGAGACCUUCGAGUCUAGUGGCGCACGGGUGCGUAACGCGUGGGAACCUGCCCUUAGGUUCGGAAUAACUCCCCGAAAGGGGUGCUAAUACCGGAUAAUGUCUUCGGACCAAAGAUUUAUCGCCUUUGGAUGGGCCCGCGUUGGAUUAGCUAGUUGGUAGGGUAAAAGCCUACCAAGGCGACAAUCCAUAGCUGGUCUGAGAGGAUGAUCAGCCACACUGGGACUGAGACACGGCCCAGACUCCUACGGGAGGCAGCAGUGGGGAAUAUUGGACAAUGGGCGAAAGCCUGAUCCAGCAAUGCCGCGUGAGUGAUGAAGGCCUUAGGGUUGUAAAGCUCUUUUACCCGGGAUGAUAAUGACAGUACCGGGAGAAUAAGCUCCGGCUAACUCCGUG